GAUGAAUAACGCAGCGAAAUGCGAUAAGUAAUGUGAAUUGCAGAAUUCAGUGAAUCAUCGAAUCUUUGAACGCACAUUGCGCCCUCUGGUAUUCCGGGGGGCAUGCCUGUUCGAGCGUCAUUAUAACCACUCAAGCUCUCGCUUGGUAUUGGGGUUCGCGGUUCCGCGGCCCCUAAAAUCAGUGGCGGUGCCUGUCGGCUCUACGCGUAGUAAUACUCCUCGCGUCUGGGUCCGGUAGGUCUACUUGCCAGCAACCCCCAAUUUUUACAGGUUGACCUCGGAUCAGGUAGGGAUACCCGCUGAACUUAAGCAUAUCAAUAAGCGGAGGA
rnacentral:misc_RNA from 1 species